GGAGACCCUAAGAUACUGCGAGGAUGGGGAUGUUCCAAUCUAGCCCCGGCUGCCAACUCAAAUGAAGUUACUAUUGUCAUCAGAGAAACAUACAUGAUCACUAAAAUAGUUCAGAAAGAGCAAACUUAAACUAAAAAAUGAAAAAGGAAAUCACCGUAUGCUUUCACUUCAAGACCAUAAAAAGCAGCUCUCAGUGUGGUUCCUGGUCGUCGAGGAAAAGGCAGAGUCCAUAUGCAAUGAGAACAAGGUUCCUACGUGAACUAAUUCAGCACGGGCAGAAACUCAGCCAGCGCUGGGCUGGAGAAGGAAACCAGCAGCCCCCAAGGAAAGCACAGAAGACUGGGAGCUCCACACCCCAGACUCGGAGAAAGGAGUCCCAGGGAAGACUGAGUACAGAAAACCCAGUGUGAUGUACCCUGCGGGAAAGCGUGGAGCACACUACACCUUCACGUGGAAGUGGGUCCACCUCCGGAGUGGGAGGGAAGAGAA